rnacentral:misc_RNA from 1 species
GAUGAAGAACGUAGCGAAAUGCGAUACUUGGUGUGAAUUGCAGAAUCCCGUGAACCAUCGAGUCUUUGAACGCAAGUUGCGCCCGAAGCCAUCAGGUUGAGGGCACGUCUGCCUGGGCGUCACAUAUCGUUGCCCAAUGCCUAUUGCAGUGCAAUAGGAAUUUCUAGGGCGAAUGAUGGCUUCCCGUGAGCGUUGUUGCCUCGCGGUUGGUUGAGAAUCGAGUCCUUGGUAGGGUGUGCCAUGGUAGAUGGUGGUCGAGUUAGAACGAUACCGAUCAUGUGCAUGCUCCCCAAAAUAUGGCCUCUAUGACCCACACGCGUCUUUUGACGCUCAUGACGAGACCUCAGGUCAGGCGGGGCUACCCGCUGAAUUUAAGCAUAUCAAUAAGCGGAGGA